AGUAGGUGAGCUUCUCCAUCCCUGUCUGUCUAGAUGCAGAGAACCCAAAGCCCUGCAGGAUGGCAAAGCUGCAACAUGGAAGUCACCCGGAUCACCACGUAAAGGAAAUCUCUCCAACCAGGAACAAACACCUGCCUUGCAAUAUUAGCACGCAUAGGCUUGUAUUCAGGAACAAUUUUACAAACUCCAGAAAAGGCAGCAGGAGAUCCAGAAUCUCUGUGUGCCUUCUCUUCAUCCUACCCCCAGAAAAAUGGCCAGUCCAGCCCAGCACCUGCUGCAGCCUCAAUAUUAAGGGACUGCUUGUCCCAUCUCUUGCCCAGGGGAAGUCGGAGAGAAAGCUCGCCCGUGUGCAUGUUUGAUAUAGGCUGUGUGUGUAGGCAGGGAGUGGGCUAGAGGACCCUGGACACCUUGGCCAGCCUCCUAGGCAGUGAGUUAGAGGAAAGGGGACUAGGUCUUGCACCUCUGCCAUACCUCGGGAUCCAGACAGACCAGGCAGCGUGUUAAUAUUGGUGUUCUGCAUGGUGGACCCAAGCUAAAGUGUUGCCUGCAGCCAAGGGCCUGGGCACGGACCAUCUUCCAUCAGCCCAGGGCCCAGGCACAGGGCCACCAGCUGGGGAUGGUGGACACCGUGUCCCCAUUCCCAGCCCGGCUCUAGAAGGCACUGUUUUGUGGACUGCGACCCCUGGAGGGUGGGCAGGGCCUGGACAGGCACAGGCGGCGCUGGGUCUCCAGUCGGCAGAAGCGGUUCUGGUUGGACACCCGGGUGGCCAUGCCCAGCCCACAGGUGGUCGAGCAGGGUCCCCAGGCCGUGCUCCAUUCUGGGCAGGGGACACCAGGGGGCAGGGAAGAGACAAGGCCAGAAAACUGGGGUCCUUGGGCUGGAAGGGGCUGGGUCCCCAGUCCCCCUCCUUGGCCGCACACCCACUCAGGGCAGCACUUGCCCAGGACCUCGACCCUCCUGGGGUGGGGGCAGUCCCAGCUGGGCAGCCGCACAUCCUCGCUGCACAGCGGCACGCAGGUGAAGCCGCCGUCCUCGCAGCGGCAGCGGAUGCUGCAGUGGGGCUGGAAGGUCUCCCCUUCCCGAUACAGGCGGCCGUUCACCUCACAGCUGCUGUCGUCCUCUGCCAAGACAAGGUCUCACUAUGUUGCCCUGGCUGGUCUGUAACUCCUGGCCUCAAGCAGUCCUCUUAUCUCAGCUUUCCAAAGUGCUGGGAUUACAGGAGAACUGCUGGAACCCAGGAGGCAGAGGUUGCAGUGAGCCGAAUCCGUGUCAUUGCACUCCAGCCCAGGCCAACAACAGCAAGAAUUCGUAUUAAAAAAAAGGCUGGUGAGAGGGGCGUGGAGGUUGAGGGGUGUGGUAAACUGUAGGAGAUAACGAUUUUAUGUUGUGUGUGUGCUAUGGUUUGGAUGUGGUUUGUCUCCUCCAAAAUGCAUGUAGAAACUUGGUCCCCAAUGUAAUGGUAUUGGGAGGUGGGGCCUUUAAGAGGGGAUUAGGUCAUUAGGAGGGAUUAAUGCCUUUCUCACAGGAGUGGGUUAAUUCUCACAGAAGUGGGUGAGUUAUUGAGAGCAGUUCAUUACAAAAGUGAGUUUGGCUUCCUCGGCUUUCUCUUGCUUCCUCGGCUUUCUCUUGCUUCCUCUCACCCUACGAUGCAUUCUGCUGUGUUACAACACAGCACGAGGCCCUCACCAGAAGCUGACCAGAUCCAGCCACCCUGUCUUGGACUUCCCAGCCUCCAGAACUGUAAAAAACAAACCCCUUUUCUUUGUCAAUUACCCAGUCCCAUGGGUUCUAUGACAGCAACAGAAAGUGGACAAAUUGUGUAACAUGCACAUGUCCAGGAGGGUGUGUGAGAGGUAAUCCUGUUGUUACGGUUGUUCUGUAGGGUGACCACAAUUGGGAAUUUCCCUGGGACUGUUUUGGUUUUAGCACUGAAAACUCUGUAUUUCAAUAAACUACUCAGACCUGGUAAACCAGGAUGGUUGGUC
rnacentral:lncRNA from 1 species